UUCGCAAUGCCCGAAAGGGUGACGAAGCGACGCCGCGUGCGGGAAGAAGGCCUUCGGGUUGUAAACCGCUGUCGGGAGUUAAGAAAUGUAAGGAUGUUAAUAGCAUCUUUGCUUGACUAAGGCUCCGGAGGAAGCCACGGCUAACUCUGUGCCAGCAGCCGCGGUAAUACAGAGGCGGCAAGCGUUGUUCGGAACUAUUGGGCGUAAAGAGCACGUAGGCGGCUAUGUAAGUCGGUUGUGAAAGCCUUCCGCUCAACGGGAGAACAGCAUCCGAUACUGCAUGGCUUGAGUGCGGGAGGGGAGAGUGGAACUUCUGGUGGAGCGGUGAAAUGCGUAGAUAUCAGAAGGAACGCCGGCGGCGAAAGCGGCUCUCUGGCCCAUAACUGACGCUGAGUGUGCGAAAGCUAGGGGAGCAAACGGGAUUAGAUACCCCGGUAGUCCUAGCCGUAAACGAUGGGCACUAAGUAGAGGGGUUUU
rnacentral:rRNA from 1 species